CCUACGGGGGGCUGCAGUGAGGAAUAUUGGUCAAUGGCCGAGAGGCUGAACCAGCCAAGUCGCGUGAGGGAAGAAUGUCCUAUGGAUUGUAAACCUCUUUUGUCAGGGAGCAAAGUCACCCACGUGUGGGUGUUGGAGAGUACCUGAAGAAAAAGCAUCGGCUAACUCCGUGCCAGCAGCCGCGGUAAUACGGAGGAUGCGAGCGUUAUCCGGAUUUAUUGGGUUUAAAGGGUGCGUAGGCGGGUUAUCAAGUCAGCGGUAAAAUCCCCGCGCUCAACGUGGGAACUGCCUUUGAAACUGGCAAACUGGAGUGUGUGAGAGGAUAGUGGAAUUCCAGGUGUAGGAGUGAAAUCCGUAGAUAUCUGGAGGAACAUCAGUGGCGAAGGCGACUAUCUGGCACAUAACUGACGCUGAGGAGCGAAAGCGUGGGUAGCAAACAGGAUUAGAUACCCCAGUAGUC
rnacentral:rRNA from 1 species